UGAGCUGGCCAUGAUACAAGUCCUGUAC
rnacentral:piRNA from 1 species